UACAGAGGUCCCGAGCGUUGUUCGGAUUCAUUGGGCGUAAAGAGCGUGUAGGCGGCUCGGUAAGUCCGUUCUGAAAGUCCAGGGCUCAACCCUGGGAUGCGGAUGGAUACUGUCGGGCUCGAGUCCGGAAGAGGCGAGUGGAAUUCCCGGUGUAGCGGUGAAAUGCGCAGAUAUCGGGAGGAACACCAAUGGCGAAGGCGGGUCUCUGGGCAAUUCCUGACGCUGAGGCGCGAAAGCGUGGGGAGCAAACGGG
rnacentral:rRNA from 1 species